AACGAACGCUGGCGGCAUGCCUAACACAUGCAAGUCGAACGAGACCUUCGGGUCUAGUGGCGCACGGGUGCGUCACGCGUGGGAACCUGCCCUUAUGUUCGGCAUAACUCCCCGACAGGGGUGCUUAUACCGGAUAAUGUCUUCGGCCCAAAGAUUUAUCGACUUUGGAUGUGCCAGCGUUGGAUUCGCUAGUUGGUAGGGUAAAAGCCUACCAAGGCGACGAUCCAUAGCUGGUCUGAGAGGAUGAUCAGCCACACUGGGACUGAGACACGGCCCAGACUCCUACGGGAGGCAGCAGCGGGGAAUAGUGGACAAUGGGCGAAAGCCUGAUCCAGCAAUGCCGCGUGAGUGAUGAAGGCCUUAGGGUUGUAAAGCUCUUUUACCCGGGAUGAUAAUGACAGUACCGGGAGAAUAAGCUCCGGCUAACUCCGUG
rnacentral:rRNA from 1 species